rnacentral:rRNA from 1 species
AAACUUUCAACAACGGAUCUCUUGGUUCUGGCAUCGAUGAAGAACGCAGCGAAAUGCGAUACGUAAUGUGAAUUGCAGAAUUUAGUGAAUCAUCGAAUCUUUGAACGCACAUUGCGCCCUCCGGUAUUCCGGAGGGCAUGCCUGUUCGAGCGUCAUU